GUGCUUGCCUCAGCAGCGCAAAUACUAAAAUUGGAAUGAUACAGAGAAGAUUCGCGUGUCCCCUGUGCAAGGAUGACAUGCAGAUUCGUGAAACGUUCUGUUUUUUC
rnacentral:snRNA from 2 species